ACAUGGGUAGCUCAGUCGGUUGAGCAUCUGACUUCAGCUCAGGUCACAAUUUCACAGUUUGUGGAUUCAAGCCCGUGUU
rnacentral:tRNA from 1 species